AGCCUUGGCUCACUGGUAGAGCAUCCGUUUUGCAUGCAGAAGGGGCCAGGUUCAAUCCCUGGCAUCUCUU